rnacentral:lncRNA from 1 species
ACUACUCGCAGUGAGACUGCUAAAAUUUGACUGACACAUAAAUAUGGUCUUAAUGAGCUCUUGUAGUGGAUGUUGACGAUAGUUGAUCUACUGUAGGAAUAGGAUGUGCAUCUAGAUGGAAUCUAUCGACCUUGAUAGAGAAGAGUAGUCCUAUGAGAUUUGAGAGGCAAAAUUUGAGAGUCUAUGGCUACAGCAGUGUGAUUGA